CUACUACACCAGCUGAGGAGAGGAGAGCUUCACCUGAAGAGAAGAUAAAGUGAGGGAAGAACAUUGUUAAAAGAGAUGACGAAUGGAGUGCAGGCUGCCAUGUUGUGUCCUUUCUGUGGCCAACAUCUGGGGACAGUUCAAGUGUUCUGUACAGUUUUUGGCAGAAGUUGAACACAACAGCAUUCCAUAAGGAGGGUCAGGAACUCACGCUUGGGACCACAAGUGUCCACUCCAUCCUCAGUUUGUCCCUCAUCCUCAGUGAACUUAACUGACAUCUCAUGAGAGGGGUCGAAUGAGGCACCUUUGAAGCCGCGGAUUGCUCCAUCUCACACAUUGGCUCUAUUAAUAUUGAACCUGCUGCAAGAUGUAUUUGUUAUUUUUGCAGAGAGUUCUGCAUCAAUGUCCUCCGCAGUCAGGUAUUCAAUUCAAUCUUUAUUUCAGACUCAAGGUCCAUAUCACAUACAAAAUGACAUACAAGAUACACAUCAAUAAAUGAGAUUAAAAAGCUAAACAAAAAACAAAAAAACAAACAGAUAAAAAACAUAAAAUCAGUCCAGUUACAGCUAGCCACACACAGCCUCACUGUCUGUGGAGGCUAUUGCGCCAAUGUCUCCAAAUUAUGGAAGAGAACCAAGUAGAACUCUUCACAGGGUUAAUUAAAAUCGAGAUAACAUGAUUGUCAGAUUCUUCUAGGCGAAACAUGAAUUUGUAGAUUACAUUUCUUAAAAGGGCUUGACAGGUAGGUACCCCCAAGUUAACAAACAGCUGGCUGGCACUGUGCCAUCUUGGUACCCUCACCAGCAACCGUAAAGCAUCAUUGUAUGCAACUUUUAGUUUUUGCAUGCUUCUAGCCUUGUAGUUACUCUACAGGUGAGCCGUGUACAAUGGUGUACAGAAAGCUUUAAAAAGUGAUACCUUGACAUCUACAGAGCACAGUUUGCAGCGUUGUCUAUGGAUGUCUUUGUCAUCUGAGAGAUCAUCAGAGAUAUAAUGACCAAGGUACUUCAUCUCAUUGCACACAAGAAGAAUGUUGCUACUGAGAAUACAAUUAGGAAAUACAGCCUUUUUAUCCUCAAUCAUGAUGCUACUCUUCUUGGCGUUAUACUUAAUAUUAAAAUCAAUGCCAUACUGGGAACAAAUCCUCAGAAGCUGUUGUAAGCCUGCACUGUACGGGGAAAAGAUGAUUAAAUCAUCUGCAUACAUAAGGUGGUUGACAACAGUAGCACCGAUGACACAGCCAGUUUUACACAGGUUCAGUUUCCUAGACAGAUCCUCCAUGUACAGAUUGAACAACAAAGGAGAUCAAAUCCCACCUUGCUUGACCCCAUUACCAACAUACAAAUGUUCAGACACAGUAUUGCCCCCACUUCACCUGCAUAGUCUGAUGUGCAUACCAGACGGCUAAGAUCCUUAUUAUGUACUUGGGUACCCCUCUCUGGCACAUUUUGUCAAAUAAUUUGAAAUGAUUCAGUCUAUCAAAUGCCCUGGAAGCAUCAAUAAAACACAGAAACAUGGUGGAAUUAUGGCUUCUAUAUUUUGCUAUAAUGUCUUUUAAAGCAAAAAUACACAUAUCUGUGCCGUGUUUUCUUUUAAAACCAAACUGGUUGUCAGCUGUGGUAAUAUACCUUUCCAGCCUAUCCAACAGAAUUCUCUCCAACACUUUGGAGAGAAUGCUAUAAGCAAUGGGUCUGUAAUUAUCAAUGCCAUUAAUCUCCCCAGCUUUAUCCUUGAUGACUGGCACAAGUAGCACAGAUAACAUGGAAACUGGUAAGACACCAUGAUUAAGUAAACCAGUAAGACACAGAGCAAGAAGAGGAGCAAGCUUAAGACUGGCAUAUUUGAAGUGUUCAGCUGAGAUGACAUCCGGGCCACAAGCUUUGUUAUUUUCUAGAUUCAUUAUAGUGUUGUAGACUUCCUCUGAUCUAACUGUAACGUUUUCAGUGGCGUCAACCUUUUCAACCACAAAUGCAUCACUCUUAACACAGUUGAACAACUCAUGAUAGUGUUGUCGCCACAGUUCUGCGAUGUUGCCUGACCCACACACUGGAAGACGGUAAGGGAGUCUUACAGCUGUUUAUGACUUUGGCCUCUUUCCAGAAAUCAUAGCAACUAUUGUUGCGCAGCUUUCUGGCAAGUGAGUCAGCCCUCAUUGUGUCCUCAUUUUCAGUCUCGGCCUUCCUGAUUCUGCCCACAAUUUAAAAGCAUCUCUAGCAGCAGUGUGUAGCUCAGUCACAUGUUCAUUCCAUCCAGGUUUUAUACCAUGCUCCUUUUUCUUACUGUUGUAAAAACCCUUACUUGAGGCAUUUAACACAUCAAUAAUAAGAUCAUAUGUAAAACAUAGAUCUCUACCAUGUUGCUCAUUUUUACAGUUGGUGUCACUACAGCAUUGCUUCUCUUGGAAUUACAACCAAGUCUAAUGAUUAGUCAGUGAGUGAGGUAAAGUGAUUCAUAUCCUUCUCACUUAACUUUGACCAAUCCAGCCUCCCUGUGUGUGUUUUAUUGUCAUCAACAGAUAGCACCGGAAUAUUUUCAACAUUUAGGGUCAAUACAAAAGGAAUAUAAUCUGUAGUGGCCAACUCAUAACAGAUGUCAAUGUUGUCCUGAGAAGCGUGUGCAUCAGCUGUGCAUAUACAGUGAUCUAGCCAUGACACAGUAUGCCAUGCUUCACUAAUAUAUGUAAAGCUUUUCUCAGGUAGUAGUGAUUUACUUGACAGUAUGAUAUUAUUAUCAUUACAAAAAUGCAGUAAACAUUUGCCAAACAGAGACAUCAUCCGAAAUGUCAGCAUUCAAGUCACCCACUACAUACACACAGGUUGUGGCAUUAUCCUUAAUGAAUGCAUUAACAAAUGCCAUUCUAUUGCGAUAUUCAUCUUCAUAUGAUUCAUAAGGUGUGUAAAUAUUUACGAUAAUAAAUGACCUAUUUUCAUACUUGAUCUCUAUACCAAUGGCCCAGUCGACGUCCAAUCUUACCACUGUAACCAAAGGAUCAUAUUUACUGUUCCAGAGAAUCGCCACACCACCCGGUAUCCUACCAUGGGCUAUUUUAUCACGGAGAUCAGUAGUUGACUCUCCAACUCCAUGAAAAUUAGCAUGUAGUGUAUUCAGCCUUUCCAGAUCUUGCUUGGGUAACCAUGUCUCUUGUAAGCACAGAAUAUCACAUUCCUCCAACAGUUUAUCAACAACCAGCCGCCUCGCUUAUAUCCCCAGCACUGUGCCCCACACGUAGGCCACGCGUGUUAUAUGACACCACCCGCAUCCUAUUAUGUAUGUACUACAGUCAUUUACAUCAGCAGAUGCAUGAUUCCCGUACACGUGUACAGGAGCGACCACAUUGUUUGUAGCAGUGCUAUCACCCGCAAGUGACCCACUAGCAGGCCGUCUUGGCUCAUAAUAGCGUCGGACAUAGGUGCCAGCUGGCCACAGCUCUGGGUCAUACAUUUCUGCCACUUCCUUGCAUUCGGCAGUGAUGUGAAAUGAGCUGAACCUACUCUGUGCCGACUCAAUCUUCCGACAAGUAACUGCUCGGCCAAGUUUCUCUCUCAGAUACUCAGUUAGCAUGUUAGCUUCCAGUUGAGUGGCACACUUAGUGGCAAACGCACUCACCAUCUUUGUGAUCACAACUUGUACGUUAGAACUCACUGGGCCAGUUCCAACUAUACCCGUCUUCUUCCUCUCCCGUUUCAGUGGCGCUUGCAUUGUAUUCUGUGCUGGGAAAGACAAAGUGAUGUAUUGUAAUAUUAAAUGAUGAAGCUAGUAAUAAGAUUUACAGUAUAGAAUAGAAAAAUGAAGUGGUAAUAGUAACAAUUAAUACCUUUCCUCUGCAGUUUGCUCCAUUUUGUCUUCUGGCUCAGACUGGCUAUCAAUAAUGAUAGGUGCAUAAACAUUUGUGUAGUUGCUGCAGUGAGAAGACAGUUGAAUAAUUACUUUCAAAUACAUAAUAUAUGCAUGACAGUCAUAUUUACAAAAGGAUGUCGAUCCUCUUCCUGUUUUUUUUUUAAUACAUUGGGUUCUAAACUGACAACAGCACUUUUGUCCUACUCCUGCACAAUCCUUGUAAACAUUUGAAAUGGAUGCAAGAAACAAUAUCUGAUCUUUGAAACAUAUUUGUGGGUGUUUUUUGUAUCGUCUUCACUAAGAUGUAAGAUGUUGUGGGUGUCAUUUGGAAAUGUAUAAAAGUAUAAUUGUUCUGCUUCCUGGCAAUGUUACCCACUGUGAUUGGAGGCUAUACAAACAAACAAAGGUAAAAAUAAAGAUACACACCAAACAACUGUGUCACGAUGCAACUGUCAACAUCGUUUACUUAUAGAAGUUGUUCUGACCCGGGGCAGACUGGACCUCUUCCUGGACUGGGGUUGGUGCUCCAUCCUAUCCCAGGAAAUAAGUGCAGUUGAUCUAAUGACAGUGUCAUUAGCACACAAAGGUAUUUAUUGAUUUCAUGUUCACAAAUUCAAACCUACAUGGUAUAAUUACAUUUUUAAUUAGUCUCACCCGAUCAGACGCUGGUUGUGGGUGCCUGAGAGGUCUGAUAAAGGUAAACACAAAAUAUAUUCAAACUACAGUUAAAACAUUCUGCUUCUUGUGACACAACAUAAUAUGUUGACAAUGUUUUAUUUUACCCAGGCAAACUGUUGUCCAUUCUGGGAGUGCUCACUUUUGGAACAUUUGGAAUGUCCCACACCUGCAUACACACAAAUGACUGACUGAAAUAAAAUAAAUUCACUUCAAUUAAGAAUAAAUGCCACGAUAAAUCCAAACUGACCAAGGUACAUUAUAUUGUUGACCGUCCUUUAACUCUCACAUUAGGAUUUACAUUUGGGCACAAUAAACCAACUUCUCUCUGCACCUAUAAUAUAUCUAUAUGAUGUCAAGAGUUACAUUUAGGUGCACAAUGCUGUCUCUUGACUUGUAAGCUCUUUUACCAAACAAGCUAACGCUAGCUGGGUAAAUAUGACGCUCUUUGAAUAAAAACAAAACAAAACGUACCUUCUUACUUUGUCCACUUCGAUCAACUUUGUUUCCUCCGGCUUCAAUUUCCAUCACUCUCGUUCGUUCUCUCUAUGUCUGGUCAGACAUCAAUCUGUUCCACGUAACGCGCCCCCUAGAGGCCUGGAGCACUGUGUGUUUUUGGGUUUGCAUGUGUUUUGGGGUUUGUAUGUGUUUUUGACUUUGCAUAUUGUUUUUGUGUUCGCAGCGUUUGUUUUCGGGGUUUGUGUGUUGUAUUUAGUUUGCAUCAUUUCUGUAAAUGCAGCGUUUUUUUGUUGUAUUUGUUUUCAGGGUUUGUUUGUUUUUCAUUUAAUUAUUUGCAGGUGUUUCCUGCUUAUGUAUGCGUUUUUGGCCGUUGUUCCGCGUUUGCACCUGCCGGCCACCGUAGGUUUGCAAUGUAAACUCUGCAAAUUCAAAUAAUGAUCAGUUUUUGGUUCAACCUGCUUUUUGAAACCCAACAGCACCAACUUCUUCAUAAACCAAGCAACAGUCUGAUGUUUCCUGGGUAGUCCGUGUGUGUGUGUGUGUGUGUGUGUGUGUGUGUGUGUGUGUGUGUG